CCAAAAAAGAUACCCCACAUCCAAAGACAAAGGAGAAGCCACAAUGAGACGUUUUGAAGGCUGGGAAGGCCAAGAUCAAAGUGCUGGCAGAUUCAAUGUCUGGUGAGAGCUUGCUUCCUGGUCCAUAGACUGCCUAUGUGUUCUUCUCACUGUGUCCUCACCUGGCAGAAAGGGCAAGUGAUUAGCCAGCUGCUUUGGUAGUGGUCAUUGUCAUCAAAACUGCAAUGGAAGCAAAAUUCCAUAGCCUGGUAUGCAGCCCUCAGAAAGCUCCUCUUAUACUUCAAGGAUCAGUUUAUCCUGAAAUAUGUUACAGAGGAGAAAUGGAAAGAUUCUUUGAAAAAAACAUCUUCUGGAAAUAUCAGAAUGAGCUGACCCUAGGCACUGACGCCAUCACCCAUCAGAAGCCAUGACCUGUGAUUUAUGGGUGUGAAUUAGAUCGUAGACUCUCAAGAGAAUUGACACCCUCAGCAACUGCAAAAUGAAGAAAUCUGUGUCAUUUUGCUCAGGAUGAGUGAGUAUACCAACAGCAAUGAUGACCUUUAUUUUCAAAUCAUGGACAAUCAGAGAAAUGGUAAAUGAAGAAAUAAGAAACCAAUUAUAAGACAUUAGCUGCCUGAGAAAGUCCAGGAACAUCUUCUCACUGGAAGAUUCUCAACAUGUCCUUGUGGACAUUUGGGGAAUGGGCACCAAAUCAAUCCCUGCUCUCUCCUGUUCCGUGAUGUGGCCUAUUUCUGGGCCCUCAUCCCUUCAUAUUCAGUAUGAAUUUUGGUUUUAUCUCUUAUAAUGGAACUGAAAAUUAAAAUACUUCAGAGUCCAACUUUGAGGAGCGAGGCAAUAAGUGGAUGAAGGGAUACCUACAAAGAUCUUCUCUCAAAAUACAACUGCAGCCACUUUCCAUUGGGGAGGAUAAGAUGGAGUGCAGAAGUCAGCAGAGAGCUGUCCCUGGAAUCCUACAGGACGUGGCCAGAGACGACACAGGGCAUCUUUACUUCAUGGACCCUCUGCAUUUACUUUCUGGUUUUUAUUGAGGAAUUUUACCUCAAAUUAUUAUAUUUUUCUCAUUACAUAUGUUUUCAAAUAAGUAGGAAAAAUUAGUACAUGCAUAUGGUUUAAAAAAAUCAAGUAGUACAAAAACAGUACAAUGAGAAGUCUUCCUUUAACUGCAGAUUCCAGUCCCUAGAGGCAGACACUCCUGAAAUAUUCUGUCUAUAAAAGCAUGUAUUGGGUUGGCCAAAAUGUUCAUUCGUUUUUUUCUGUAAGAUGCCUCUAGUAGCACUUAGUUGUCUUUAACUUCAUU